rnacentral:rRNA from 1 species
UGGGGAAUAUUGGACAAUGGGGGCAACCCUGAUCCAGCAAUGCCGCGUGUGUGAAGAAGGCCUUCGGGUUGUAAAGCACUUUUAUCCGGAACGAAACGCGUUGGGUGAAUAGCCCGGCGAACUGACGGUACCGGAGGAAUAAGCACCGGCUAACUUCGUGCCAGCAGCCGCGGUAAUACGAAGGGUGCAAGCGUUACUCGGAAUUACUGGGCGUAAAGCGUGCGUAGGUGGUUUGUUAAGUCUGUUGUGAAAGCCCCGGGCUCAACCUGGGAAUGGCAAUGGAUACUGGCAGGCUAGAGUGCGGUAGAGGGUAGUGGAAUUCCCGGUGUAGUGGUGAAAUGCGUAGAGAUCGGGAGGAACACCAGUGGCGAAGGCGGCUACCUGGACCAGCACUGACACUGAGGCACGAAAGCGUGGGGAGCAAACAGGAUUAGAUACCCUGGUAGUCCACGCCCUAAACGAUGCGAACUGGACGUUGGGAGCAACUUGGCUCUCAGUGUCGAAGCUAACGCGUUAAGUUCGCCGCCUGGGGAGUACGGUCGCAAGACUG